GCACCCGCUUUGUUUUUUCAGGGUCGCGUGGAGGAUCUGGUCUCUCCUCAUCCAUGGCGACGACGGCGAGCUUGAGGCGAUGGCCGCGAGGUCCUGGCGACGGCGGCGCAGGUUGAUUGGAAUUCAGUUUUCAAGUCUCUGCAGCGGUCAAUUAAAAAGAAGUAACAGGGAUGGUGUGCCCAAUCUGCAAGUCCGACUGAGCUAGCCAUCACUCAUCGGGUUUAAAUUUUGGUGUUUGAUUGUCUGAAGACAUUGAAAGCUCAGUGGUAACAUGAUUUUGAAUAUGCUUAAUCUAUCAGUAUAGUCUAGUUCCCUGUCAUGGUCAGUUAUUAAUUUAUCACUACAGUCUACUUC